CGACGCGCUGCCAGCACCCACACUGCUGCAGAGCCUUAGCACAGGCUGCUUGCUCCGCUGGAUCACACCCAAACCAUGGCCUGGCUGGCUCCUUGUUGACUUUCAAUUCUGAGAUGAAUGAUCAUCUCCCUGGAAAAGGCUCUGCCACUCUCCAAUGACCCAGCUCUGGUUUAUCUUCACCGUGCUGAUCGCCCCUGCAAUCUGUUUGCUUUCAGCUCUUGGACCUGUUCUUCCCUACCCACCCAGGUGCGCUUGGUGCUGUGUGCACAGUAGGUGCUCGGUCAAUAUUUGUCCAGGGCAUAACACGCCUUCCAGCAGUGUGGCUCCAGCUCCGAGGGCAUAUUCAUCAUCGGGGGAUCUUGUUAGAAUCAAGGGUCCAGUUCAGUAGGUCUGGAGUGGGGCCCAGGAGUCUAAGUGUCUGAGAAGCUUCCAGGUAUUGUGAUGCUGCAGCUGAGUCCCGCACAGAUCGGCAGCACCGGUUUUGAAGGCCACGUGUACUCCAGAUUCUUGUCACCAACGGUACCACUGCUCCGCCUUGAAUGCUGUCUCCCCUGAGCUGUGAGUCCCAGGGCAGAUGCUACCCUUCUCACCCUGUGUCCCAGCUCCAGUCACACCCACUGGUCCAAUGUGGGCUGGCACAGAAGACUGCAGGCCUGGGGGUGCCCAGCACUGGGACUGGAGAUCAGAACACCUGACUUCAAAGUCUGGUUUGAGCACUUUCUAGCUGUGUGCCCUUGGGCAAGGAGACUGGUCCUUUGCCCAGAUCCCACAGCCAGAGAGGGGCGAGGCAGGAUGGAAACCCUGGUCUGUGUCCCUCGGAGCCUGGGCCCUGGGAUGUGUGAGUCUCUUCUGGCUUCUGUAACAAAUGACCACUAACUGGCUAGAGACAGCACAACUGUAGCAUCUUACAGUUCCGGAGCUCAGGAGUCGGAAACGGGCCUUGCCUGGCUAAAAUCAAGGUGUCAGCCGGAAGGCGCUCUCCCUGGAGGCUCUAGGGGAGAAAGUUGUUUCUUGCCUUUUCCAGCUUUUAGAGGCUGCCUGCAUUCCUUGGCUCAUAGCCGCCUCUUCCAUGUUCAAGGCCAGCAAUGGAGCAUCCUUAAAUCUCCCUUUCUGACUCUGGCCGUCCUGUCUCCCUCUUAUGAGGACCCUUGUGAUGACACUGGCUCCUCCAGAUCAGCCAGGAUCACCUCCCCACUUGGAGAUCCUUGACUUCCUCACAUCUGUAAAGUCCCUUCUGCCGUGUGACAUAUAAGGAGGCCAAGAUGCGUCUGAUCUUUAAAAGACUAAAGCCCCCCAAACAAGUCUGAGGAGACUCCUGGCUUGUUUUUAUUUUGGCCAGGAAAGUUUUCCAAUAUCCCUGGCCUUCAGGCUUGUCCCCUAGGAGGAUGGAGGGACUGAGCUGGGGAGAUGUCUGUGAAUGGGGGUGGGGUGGAUUCACAGGUUUCAGGGGUUAGAACGCCAGUGUCUUUGGGACCCAUUAUUCUGCCUUCCACUGCGUGGAUGAUGGGAAAGCUCCUGGUUCCAGGGCGCAAACUUAGCCUGGCUCUUUGGCCUCUCUGUGCCUCAGUUUAUAUAAUGAGGGUGAGGAGAAUAUCUGUUGGGGUUGUUGAAGUAGUGAAGGAGUUGGUAAUUGAAAAGUGCUAAGCAUAUGCCAGGCACUGUGGACACAUGCGCUGUACCUUUUGGGAGGGCACAUCCCUCCCCCACCUGCUACCACCCCACCCAGGCUGGCAUGCAGUGGUGCAAUCACAGCUCACUGCAGCCUUGACUUUCCGGGGCUUAAGUCAUCCUCCCACCUCAGCCUCCGGAGUAGCUGGGACCACAGGUGCACACCAUUACACCCAGCUAAUUUUUAAAUUUUUUGUAGAGACGGGGUUUUGCCAUGUUGUCUAGGCUGGAAGUCCAUCUGACAUUGAAGUUCUCUUUCAGUUUUGACAUCUGAUCCAUCUAGGGCUGUGUGUGUGUGACAGUGUGUGUGUGAUUGUGUGUGUGUGUAUGAUUGUGUGUGUGUAUGAUUGUGUGUGUGUGUAUGUGUGCACAUGUCUUUAUGGGGAUUGAGGGUGGGUGGAACAGAGACUGGGAGAGACACUUUGUGAAAUGUUUAUAUUUUAUGCCUUUUGAUGUAAUUCCAACUAGAUCUUAAAUCAUGCAGCAGGAAGCUCCUUAAAAUUUUUAAUUUGUUGUUUUUCUUAGAAAUGAUUAUUUCCACAUUGCGCC
rnacentral:lncRNA from 1 species